AGAGUUUGAUCAUGGCUCAGAACGAACGUUGGCGGCAUGGAUUAGGCAUGCAAGUCGAGGGAAUCUCCCGCAAGGGAGGGAACCGGCGUAAGGGGCAGUAAGGCAUGGGUACCUACCCCGGGGUUCGGGAUAGCCACCAGAGAUGGUGGGUAAUACCGGAUGACCUCGUGAGAGCAAAGAUUUAUCGCCCUGGGAGGGGCCCAUGUGAUAUUAGCUAGUUGGUGAGGUAACGGCUCACCAAGGCGAAGAUGUCUAGCGGGUGUGAGAGCACGACCCGCGCCACUCGCACUGAGACACUGGCGAGACACCUACGGGUGGCUGCAGUCGAGGAUCUUCGGCAAUGGGCGAAAGCCUGACCGAGCGAUGCCGCGUGCGCGAUGAAGGCCUUCGGGUUGUAAAGCGCGAAAGCGGGGAGAAAAGCCCGCAAGGGUGUGAUCUAUCCACAGUAAGCUCGGGCUAAGUUCGUGCCAGCAGCCGCGGUAAGACGAACCGAGCGAACGUUGUUCGGAAUCACUGGGCUUAAAGGGCGCGUAGGCGGGCUGUCAAGUUUGGGGUGAAAUCCCGCGGCUCAACCGUGGAACUGCCUCAAAUACUGACGGUCUCGAGGGAGGUAGGGGCGAGCGGAACUGAUGGUGGAGCGGUGAAAUGCGUUGAUAUCAUCAGGAACUCCGGUGGCGAAGGCGGCUCGCUGGACCUCUUCUGACGCUGAGGCGCGAAAGCUAGGGGAGCAAACGGGAUUAGAUACCCUAGUAGUCC
rnacentral:rRNA from 1 species